rnacentral:rRNA from 1 species
AGAAUCAACGCUGGCGGCGUGCCUAACACAUGCAAGUCGCACGAGAAAGGGGAGCAAUCCCUGAGUACAGUGGCGCACGGGUGAGUAACACGUGAAUAAUCUACCUCCGAGUGGGGAAUAACUGAGAGAAAUCUUAGCUAAUACCGCAUAAUACCCACGGGUCAAAGCAGCAAUGCGCUUGGAGAGGAGUUCGCGGCAGAUUAGUUAGUUGGCGGGGUAAUGGCCCACCAAGACGAUGAUCUGUAUCCGGCCUGAGAGGGCGCACGGACACACUGGAACUGAAACACGGUCCAGACUCCUACGGGAGGCAGCAGUGGGGAAUUUUUGCGCAAUGGGGGAAACCCUGACGCAGCAACGCCGCGUGGAGGAUGAAGCCCCUUGGGGUGUAAACUCCUUUCGAUCGGGAAGAUAAUGACGGUACCGAUAUAAGAAGCCCCGGCUAACUUCGUGCCAGCAGCCGC